ACAAAGGAUGGGAAAGGGAGACUAAAGGGCCUUGAUUGGCAGAGCUGGGAUUAAAUUUGUUCUCCUGAGGCUCACACAGCAUUUUCCCACCAGGAUGCACAGCCAAAAACUGGAAUGAGCCCAGAUGACCUUCAACAGGUGAAUGGUUAAGCGUCCUGGGACACUAUUCAUCAAUGAGAGAGAAUGAACACAAUACAUGCAACAAUAUGGGUGAAUCUCCAGAGAAGCAGGCCAAAGGAAAAAAAGCCAUCCCCCAAAGGAAACUGUAUGAUUCCACGUCCACGACACUUUUAAAAUGACAGAAGUAUAGAAAUGGAGAACAGGCGGGGUCACAGCCCUGCUGAGUUUGUCCUUGCAUCUGGAGGAAAACAGACAUGCCAGGCUGGUGCAGGACCUAGUGGAGUCUGGGCUGUGAGGAAGAGCUGGUCAGGUGCUCUGGGUGUCGGCUCACUGGUGUCCGAGAUCUAACAGCCUUAACCGACCUGCUGUGUGCCCUGAGCACACACUGGCCCCCUCUGAAUCUUCAUUGCCUCACUGGUUCGGAUGUUCUAUGACAUUUACAACAGCUUACGGGAUUUUUCCAUAUGCAGCUUCCUUUGGUGACACCUGCUAAGGAUGAGAGGUGGCUUCGGCUAUGGAACUUCGAGAAAGGCCACUGAAGUCACUGAGGAUUCUGACCUCCUCAGUUACCCACUAAUUCUGUUUCUGCCAUGUCUUG